GUUUUAAUAAUUUUAAUAAAAAUAUUGGUCUUGUAAACCAAAAAUGGGGAUUACCCUUAAAACA
rnacentral:tRNA from 1 species